UACAGGGGGCUCGAGCGUUAGUCGGAAUCACUGGGCUUAAAGGGUGCGUAGGCGGCUCGUCAAGUGUUUUGUGAAAUCCCACAGCUCAACUGUGGAACAGCAGGGCAAACUGACGAGCUUGAGGCAGGUAGGGGCCGGAAGAGGUGAGCGGAAUUCCCAGUGUAGAGGUGAAAUUCGUAGAUAUUGGGAAGAACCCCGGUGGCGAAGGCGGCUCACUGGACCGGUACUGACGCUGAGGCACGAAAGCGUGGGGAGCAAACAGG
rnacentral:rRNA from 1 species